CUGUUCUAUUCUGUUGUAUUCUGUUGUAUUUUAAUGUAUUAUGUUCUAUUCCGUUGUUUUUUGUUGUAUUCUGUUGUAUUUUAAUGUAUUAUGUUCUAUUCCGUUGUUUUUUGUUGUAUUCUGUUGUAUUCUGUUGUAUUUUAAUGUAUUAUGUUCUAUUCCGUUGUUUUUUGUUGUAUUCUGUUGUAUUUUAAUGUAUUCUGUUGUAUUCCAGUGGUGUAUCAGAAUUGGUGUACGUUUAGAAAUAAGGGACGUUUAUGCAUUUUUUUCAUUGACUUGGAAAAAACACAAACGUUUGCUUAAUUAUGGACGAACGGCUUCGAGUUGCCUCGUGCAAUAUCAGGUAAUGUGGCCUAAAUACUGACCACUGGGGGGCGUGGACUAUUACAACAUAAUUUAGAGGUGUGCCGGCAGGUGUGUGAGGUGCCAGGUCAGGUGUGCCAGCGUUAGUUACCCCGUUAGGAGCGAUUCUAACACCCGCGUCAUCGGGGGCCGCCGGAACUGAGCCCAGCCCCGUACAGACAGUUUUUCUUACGCUGUGUCACUAAUUAUCGUUUGCAAGAGUCGCCACAACGCCCCACGCAUUCACUGUCGAUGGGGAAAGGCUUUCCUACACUGGCGUUAGCGUAGAUGAUGUAAUAUUGCAGAAAACAAGCUCAAAUGUUCUCGGCGGGCGGAGCGGGGCGGGGCGGGGCAGUUUGACAUUCACCUCGUAACAAAAUUUUCGUCUUCACGGCUACAAUACAUCUUUCCUGCACUGGUCUCAUAUAUCCACGUGUGCACGGGCGUGGAAGGCUGACGUGGGUAAACCACUACAUGCCGGAGAUGACCCGACCCGCCCCGCCCCGCCCCACCUUCCUGGCCUGCCCGCCCCCUGGCAUAAAUUGUUUCCAGAAACCCCUAAAUGACCGACUCUUCCAUGCCUGAGAUGACCUGCCCUGCCCUGCGUCAUGACCUCCCGGCAUACAUUGAAACCGUGCGCUGAAUGGGUGACUUUUCAAUGCUGGAGGUCCA